AGAAGCCUCGUGGCAUACUGCGAUAGCAGGUGGAAACAAUUCAGCGGCUGUAGCAGAGGCUGCUGAGCCCAUGGAAACAGCAGAGAUCGGCGUGCCAAAGGAACCAAUAGGGCUCGAUGAUCCCACAGAAACAACAAGGAUAGACGGGCUGACGGAAACAGCAGGGGUCGACGGGCUGGGGGAUCCUUUGACGGGAGUCAUGCUUGAUGAGUGAGACUUUGGGCUAGCCAUUUCUUCUCUUCGAUAAUUCCUAUGGAAGAAUUGGCCUUUCGAUUUCAGUUUUGAAUUUUGUCGACGGAAAUGAUGAAACGAAAGGAAGGUGAUGGGGUGUAAUUUGCCACGCGUGCUGCUUUUACGCGCCACUCUUCGACAUCUGUACAAUUCGGCGGCAAUCUCUGUGCGCUGCAAGGCUUCGAAUAUUUCAACUAAUUAUUUUAGCAGGUUAAUUGUACGAAUAGUUACUGAAUUUUGCCAUAUAUUACUACUUAAUAAUCGAAAUUAAAAAUAUAUUUCAAUGAUCACUAAAUUUCAUCAAGUAUUAUUAAUUCAUAAUUGAACUUAAAAAUGUCUUUC
rnacentral:lncRNA from 1 species